rnacentral:rRNA from 1 species
GUACCUCUGGUGUACCAGUUGUUCUGCCAAGGGCAUGGCUGGGUAGCUAUGUACGGAAUGGAUAAGCGCUGAAAGCAUCUAAGCGCGAAGCCAACUUCAAGAUAAGAUUUCCCACCGCAAGGGUAAGACCCCAGAAAGACUAUCUGGUUGAUAGGUCGAAGGUGUAAGUGCAGCAAUGUAUUUAGCUUAUCGAUACUAAUAGGUCGAGGACUUGACCAA